ACCUACACUGGCCUGGACUCAUACACGCAUCAGCUGAUUACAGUGCAUCAGUGUUUUAUCACUCGCUCAAGAAUUAGCUUCGGAAGCCUAUAUAUAUAUCAAGCCGGAAGACCUCUUGCUAUUUGCUAGAGAAGUAGUCCCCGAAGGCUAUUAAGUAGCAGUGUCAAUUGCAGAAGCAAUGUCCUGGCUGUGGGUUCUAGUGCAAUUGCUGGUGAUGGUGCACGGCAGGACUUUCGGGUUUACCUUCGGCCCGUUUGGAACAGAAAAUCCCAAUUGUGCCUAUGUCGACUGCCCUCAUGUUAUAGUUCCCGGAUGCAUACCCAUCACACCACCUGGCCAAUGCUGCCCUGAUUGGUCGCAAUGCAAAGGCAGCGAGUGGUGAAGAAACUGCAUGACCAUGACAGCCCGCUGAAGGAAUUGCAUGCAUGACCAUUUCCGUGGUGCCAAAACCGGGAUCAUCGUUGAUAAAGCUCAAUUUAUUUACAGUGUGCAUAUGAAAUAACCUUUACUUGAAUUAUUAAGUAAUGAAUAAAAAUAUGAAAGAUU
rnacentral:lncRNA from 1 species